rnacentral:rRNA from 1 species
AUUGAACGCUGGCGGCAUGCCUUACACAUGCAAGUCGAACGGCAGCACGGGUGCUUGCACCUGGUGGCGAGUGGCGAACGGGUGAGUAAUGCAUCGGAACGUACCCUGGAGUGGGGGAUAACUAUCCGAAAGGAUAGCUAAUACCGCAUAUUCUAUGAGUAGGAAAGCGGGGGAUCUUCGGACCUCGCGCUCUGGGAGCGGCCGAUGUCAGAUUAGCUAGUUGGUGGGGUAAAGGCCUACCAAGGCUACGAUCUGUAGCGGGUCUGAGAGGAUGAUCCGCCAUACUGGGACUGAGACACGGCCCAGACUCCUACGGGAGGCAGCAGUGGGGAAUUUUGGACAAUGGGGGCAACCCUGAUCCAGCCAUGCCGCGUGAGUGAAGAAGGCCUUCGGGUUGUAAAGCUCUUUCGGCCGGGAAGAAAUCGCCAUCUCUAAUAUAGGUGGUGGAUGACGGUACCGGAAUAAGAAGCACCGGCUAACUACGUGCCAGCAGCCGCGGUAAUACGUAGGGUGCGAGCGUUAAUCGGAAUUACUGGGCGUAAAGCGUGCGCAGGCGGUUUUUUAAGAUAGGCGUGAAAUCCCCGGGCUUAACCUGGGAACUGCGCUUAUGACUGGAAGACUAGAGUACGGCAGAGGGGGGUGGAAUUCCACGUGUAGCAGUGAAAUGCGUAGAGAUGUGGAGGAACACCGAUGGCGAAGGCAGCCCCCUGGGCCGAUACUGACGCUCAUGCACGAAAGCGUGGGGAGCAAACAGGAUUAGAUACCCUGGUAGUCCACGCCCUAAACGAUGUCAACUAGUUGUUGGGUGGGUAAAACCAUUUAGUAACGUAGCUAACGCGUGAAGUUGACCGCCUGGGGAGUACGGCCGCAAGGUUAAAACUCAAAGGAAUUGACGGGGACCCGCACAAGCGGUGGGUGAUGUGGAUUAAUUCGAUGCAACGCGAAAAACCUUACCUACCCUUGACAUGUUCAGAAUCCCGGAGAGAUUUGGGAGUGCCCGAAAGGGAGCUGGAACACAGGUGCUGCAUGGCUGUCGUCAACUCGUGUCGUGAGAUGUUGGGUUAAGUCCCGCAACGAGCGCAACCCUUGUCGUUAAUUGCCAUCAUUUAGUUGGGCACUUUAACGAGACUGCCGGUGACAAACCGGAUGAAGGGGGGGAUGACGUCUAGUCCUCAUGGCCCUUAUGGGUAGGGCUUCACUCGUCAUACAAUGGUCGGGUACAGAGGGUUGUCAAGCCGCGAGGUGGACCCCAACCCCAAAAAGCCGAUCGUAAUCCGGAUUGCUGGCUGCUACUCCCUUGCUAGAAUAUCGCAUCCCCUUCUCAACCUCCGAUCCGUCUGUUUGGGGUGAAUACCUUUCCCGGGUUU